CUAACAACGGAGCGGUCAACAGCAAGGGGGCGUUGUGUUUCCAAUCUGUUGUGGACAUCCAUUGAAAUGCAGUACAUCUGGCGCAAUGUAACAUAGUGUUUAUGGGUAAUGAAAAGUUUAGGGGCUUUAGGGUUGUCAGACAAUUUUUGGGCCAAACCUAGCUCAAAUUCUACACGUUGGAGUAAAACGAGGCUACAGCGUCCAUAAAUUAACCAUUAAGCCUCGUUCACAUUAUCCAUAAGCACUCCAUUACGCAGUGCUGGAUGUCAUGCAUUUCAAUGGGGACGUCCACAACGGAGUGGAAUUACAUCGCCCCACUUGCGGUUGAAGGCACCGUUGCAAGAAGGACACGACAUAAUUUGACAUUUUCCAAACUUUGCCUUGUCUUCAGUCCAGCCAGUCCAGCCAGAGUCCGGAAGUUACCAAACCACAGAACAAGAUGAAAAUGUGUGGUUUUCAUUGAUGGAUGAUGGCUGCAAUCCACUCCCAGUUAAGCGAGGUCCGGUCAGGCCUCCGUCAGCUCCAAAAUGCCCUGGGGGAUGUGAUGGACAUCCAGAACUUUCUUUCUGGUAGAAGUCAGCAAUGACUGGAGGCAAAACAUUAACACCAUUGAGAACUUGAAGUACGUAAAAUAUGCUGGGACGCAACAUCAGCGUUGGCUCCUCAGAGGAGCAAGACAAUACUGCUUGGUGACCUACAGAUUAUAUUUGGAGAUGGUUAUCGGUGCGGAGAAGCUAGGCACAGAACACUGAAUUCCCUGAAAACAUUUCCGGCGCCUACUUCAGUCCAAUCAAGCACUGGUCUAACUGAAUGUGGAUGUUGUGUUGGCUGAAUGUUCCAGGCACACUCCAGAAUGUUCUUCUGCUGGUGAACCUUGUGUUGUGCAAAGGCAGCUGGUCUGGCAGAAGUUCAUGAGCUCCAUGACCUUGGACUUAUAGACUCAUAGAUUUCAGCUCUUGCCAGCCCCAUGCAGUCAGCCCCAGGCAGUCUUUACCUCUUCCGAGUCAGAUGAUGUUGAGCUUGAGUUUUUUCCCGGAUUAAAGAUUUAAUCUAAUGGGUCUACAGGAUCUGUACUUCUAAAGCAGCAGCACCAGGAUUAGUCUGUAGGACAUACACUAGUCAGUGAUUUUACUACUUUGUCCCCAUGAAUACACACUCUGACAAGGUACUACAUCCACUCUUCACCCUUGUGUCAAUAGAUCAUGCAUACUAACCUUCACACACAAUACCCACUCCCAACAGACACCAGUCACCCACACCAUCCCCUCUUCACCAAGAACUAAGCUUUUCUCUGAUUUACACUUCAAGCUUUGCAUAAACAAUCAAUUAAUGCUGCAAUAUGUAACUUUUUGGGCGACUCAGCAAAUUCACAAAACAUUUUUUAACUAGGAAAGUCGGUUAUUAAGAACAAAAUCUAAUUUGUAAUGACGGCCAACAGUGGCCUUGUUCAGGGGUAGAAGGGCAGAUUUUUAUCUUGUCAGCUUGUGGAUUCGAUCCAGCAACCUAUCAACUGGCCCAAUGCUCUAACCACUAGGCUACCUGCUGCCCCCAAAAUGUGAGUUAUAGAUCUGUCAUUGUCAUUGAAAGCAAAUCUAACAAGCGGUAAAUAAACGCAGCAAAAAAAGACACGUCCUCUUACUGUCAACUGCGUUUAUUUUCAGCAAACUUAACAUGUGUACAUAUUUGUAAGAACAUAAGAUUCAACAACUGAGACAUAAACUGAACA